UUUUGCUUGAAUAGACCAGGAUUCAUUGCCUACCCUCUCCUGCUACCCUUAGGAAACGAAGCUGAAAAUAGAAACAUCAAAACAACAAGCCAUUCCAGCUCUAAGUGCCAUAGUAAACAAAUGGUCCAAUGUUGCUCCGAUGGUUUAAUUGCAGCAGCUCCAGACAAGCUCAUUCAUGAAGCAUCUUCAGUUGAUGAAGAGGAGGAGUGAGGCCUUGGGGGAAGGGGUGGCUUGUGGCUAUCUCUGAGAAGUCUUCUCUCUAUCCAUCCAUUUAUUAACCAAACACAUAUCAAGGGUCUAUGGGGAGUUAGGCACAAUGCUGGAAUCACAAAGAUGAAUACAACAUGGUUCCUAACCAUGAGGAGCUCAAGGACCAGCAGGGUGAAUGACGCUGCAGUAUACUAGUAUGAAUGCUCCAGAAUGGCUACUCCACUGUAAUAACAGAG
ensembl:lncRNA